rnacentral:lncRNA from 1 species
GGUAAUAUAGGUGAUGCUUGGGAGGAAUGGUAGACAGAGUAACGACAGCGGCAAGCACUAUUGAUUUUUUUUUUUAGUCACGGAUAGCAGAGAAGGAGAUCCAAGAAGAGAAUUCAAGAUUAGCGAGAUGGGUAUAUAGGGGUAAGAGCUUAUUAUUGAAAGAUGCACAGUGUUUGAAUAGUUGCACUUCCCAGUUUUCUAAUUAUGAAUCGUAACAGAGCUA